GACGAACGCUGGUGGCGUGCUUAACACAUGCAAGUCGAACGAUGAUGCCCAGCUUGCUGGGUGGAUUAGUGGCGAACGGGUGAGUAACACGUGAGUAACCUGCCCCUGACUCUGGGAUAAGCGUUGGAAACGACGUCUAAUACUGGAUAUGAUCACUGGCCGCAUGGUCUGGUGGUGGAAAGAUUUUUUGGUUGGGGAUGGACUCGCGGCCUAUCAGCUUGUUGGUGAGGUAACGGCUCACCAAGGCGACGACGGGUAGCCGGCCUGAGAGGGUGACCGGCCACACUGGGACUGAGACACGGCCCAGACUCCUACGGGAGGCAGCAGUGGGGAAUAUUGCACAAUGGGCGAAAGCCUGAUGCAGCAACGCCGCGUGAGGGAUGACGGCCUUCGGGUUGUAAACCUCUUUUAGUAGGGAAGAAGCGAAAGUGACGGUACCUGCAGAAAAAGCACCGGCUAACUACGUGCCAGCAGCCGCGGUAAUACGUAGGGUGCAAGCGUUGUCCGGAAUUAUUGGGCGUAAAGAGCUCGUAGGCGGUUUGUCGCGUCUGCUGUGAAAUCCCGAGGCUCAACCUCGGGCUUGCAGUGGGUACGGGCAGACUAGAGUGCGGUAGGGGAGAUUGGAAUUCCUGGUGUAGCGGUGGAAUGCGCAGAUAUCAGGAGGAACACCGAUGGCGAAGGCAGAUCUCUGGGCCGUAACUGACGCUGAGGAGCGAAAGCAUGGGGAGCGAACAGGAUUAGAUACCCUGGUAGUCCAUGCCGUAAACGUUGGGCGCUAGAUGUAGGGACCUUUCCACGGUUUCUGUGUCGUAGCUAACGCAUUAAGCGCCCCGCCUGGGGAGUACGGCCGCAAGGCUAAAACUCAAAGGAAUUGACGGGGGCCCGCACAAGCGGCGGAGCAUGCGGAUUAAUUCGAUGCAACGCGAAGAACCUUACCAAGGCUUGACAUACACCGGAAACGGCCAGAGAUGGUCGCCCCCUUGUGGUCGGUGUACAGGUGGUGCAUGGUUGUCGUCAGCUCGUGUCGUGAGAUGUUGGGUUAAGUCCCGCAACGAGCGCAACCCUCGCUCUAUGUUGCCAGCGGGUUAUGCCGGGGACUCAUAGGAGACUGCCGGGGUCAACUCGGAGGAAGGUGGGGAUGACGUCAAAUCAUCAUGCCCCUUAUGUCUUGGGCUUCACGCAUGCUACAAUGGCCGGUACGAAGGGCUGCGAUACCGUAAGGUGGAGCGAAUCCCAAAAAGCCGGUCUCAGUUCGGAUUGAGGUCUGCAACUCGACCUCAUGAAGUCGGAGUCGCUAGUAAUCGCAGAUCAGCAACGCUGCGGUGAAUACGUUCCCGGGCCU
rnacentral:rRNA from 1 species